rnacentral:rRNA from 1 species
AUUUCGCCGUCUGGUGGAUGGCUUGGUUUGGGCGCCGAAGAAGAGCGUGGCAAGCUGCGAUAAGCCUCAGCGAGGCGCAAGCAACCGUAGAACUGAGGAUUCUCGAAUGGGCAGUCCUGUUUUUAAAACACUCCGUAAUGGAGAGGGAACGUGGGAAAUUGAAGCAUCUUAGUACCCACAGGAAAAGAAAUCAAAAGAGAUGCCGUGAGUAAAGGCGAUCGAAAACGGCAGAGUCUAAACCGAAUUCUUCACUAAAAUGAAGAAGAUGUGGUGUUGUAGGACCCCGUCUAAUCUCGUGUGGGGGAAACCGAAGAUCUCUGGAAAGGGAUAUGCCAGAGUGGGUGAUAGCCCCGUAGGUGUAACCCCACCUGAGUACAAGACGAGGUAUCCUGAGUAGCGUGAGUUGGAAAUCUCGCGUGAAUUUGGGGGUCAUCAACCUCCAAGACUAAAUACGUCCCAAAACCGAUAGUGUAAUAGUACCGUGAGGGAAAACUGAAAAGCACCCUUAAAAAGGAGGUGAAAAGUGCCUAAAACCAGGCGGUUAUAGUGUGGCAUGGCCCAAAAGGAUAGAUUCUUCUCGAAGGAGUUUCUCGUGAGGGAAAAGUACGAGAGAAGAUGACCAGGGUUGUGUCGUACGUUCUGAAGAACGGGCCAGGGAGUGUAUUCAAGUGGUAAGGCUAAGUCGUUGAGACGUGGCCGAAGGGAAACCAACAGGUGUGCAGCCUUUUUAGGUAAGACACGGCGUUUUUUGGCGUGUAAUCACUUGAAUACGACCCGAAACCGGGUGAUCUAGGCGUGGGCAGGAUGAAGCGUGGCGAAAGCUGCGUGGAGGUCCGUAGGGAUGUUGAUAUGCAAAUCGCUCCUUUGACCUGCGUCUAGGGGUGAAAGUCCAAUCAAACCCGGAAUUAGCUGGUUCCCUCCGAAACAUACCGUAGUAUGACCUCGCUGGAGAUGGAUGAUGGGGUAGAGCACCGAUUGGGGAUUUAGGGAGGAAACUCCUCGGUUCCCUGUCAGACUCCGAACUCAUCAUCGUUGUAGAAGGCGGGAGUCCGGGUUGGGGGAUAAGCUUCUAAUCCGAAAGGGGGACAACCCAGACCGGAGUUAAGGUCCCAAAAUGUCGGUUAAGUGUUAAUUCAAAAGGCUUAUGUGCCUAAGACAGCUGGAAGGUUAGCUUAGAAGCAGCUAUCCUUUAAAGAGUGCGUAAAAGCUCACCAGUUGAGGUGUGUGAACCUGAAAAUGGACGGGGCUCAAACCGACUACCGAGACUCCGGGGCACCGAAAGGUGAUCCUGUAGGAGGGCGCUCAGGGGGGGUAGAAGCAAGGCUGUGAAGUCUUGUGGACCGCUCUGAGAUGAAAAUCCUGGUAAUAGUAGCAGCAUAGUUCCGUGAGAGUCGGAACCGCCGGAGGGGCUAGGUUUCCUCGGCAAUGUUGAUCAGCCGAGGGUUAGCCGGUCCUAAGAUAAGUCGUAAUUCGAGCUUGUCAAAAGGGAAGUGGGUUAAUAUUCCCACGCCACCGUACUUACGUCGUCAAGAAGGGGACGCUUUGGGAUAGGCUGAGCUGUCUUGUCUAACAGUCCAAACAUUCGAACCCCGGGGAGAACCGUAAUGGUGAGAACCGGGUGAAGGUGCGAUAGCGAAAGUCAGCUGAUUUCUAGAGCCCGUGAAAAGCUUUCUUGAAAGGAAAUACGGUGUCCGUACCGAGAACCGACACAGGUGCCCCUAGGUGAGUAGCCUAAGGCGUGUCAGAUUAAUCUAGCCAAGGGAAUUCGGCAAAUUGGCCCCGUAUCUUUGGUAUAAGGGGUAUCUGCUAUGAAGAUGGCAGAUCGCAGUGACAAAGAGGCUUCGACUGUUUAAUAAAAACAUAGGUGGUCGCAAACCCGUAAGGGCUGGUAUGACCAUUGAGUCCUGCCCAGUGCCGGUAUCUGAAAGCCCUUUACAAGGGGACGAAGGACCGGUAAACGGCGGGGGUAACUAUGACCCUCUUAAGGUAGCGUAAUACCUUGCCGCUUAAUUGGCGGCUUGCAUGAAAGGAUUAACGAGAGCCUCACUGUCCCUGGCUGGAAUCUGGUGAAAUUGACGUCCCAGUGUAUAGUCUGGGGAUCCCUAAUGGGAAGUGAAGACCCCGUGGAGCUUUACUGCAGCCUGUUGUUGGGAUGUGGUCUUGGAUGUGCAGAGUAGGUAGGAGGCGUCGAAGUUUCCGCGCCAGCGGAGAUGGAGCCGACAAUGAGACACUACCCUUCUGAGAACGUAUCCCUAACUCCGUAAGGAGAACAGCGAUAGGUGGGCAGUUUGGGUGGGGCGCCACCCCGCUGAAAAAAUAUCGGCGGGGCCCAAAGGUCGGCUCAGAUGGAUCGGAAAUUCAUCGUAGAGUGCAAGGGCAAAAGCCGGCUUGAUGUGAUUCUGGACAACAAGGAAUCACGAACCGAAAGGUGGGCCUAGCGAACCUUUAAAUCCCUCUUGAUGAGGGUUAAAGAUGACAGAAAAGCUACCCCGGGGAUAACAGAGUUGUCACCAGUAAGAGUACAUAUCGACCUGGUGGUUUGCUACUUCGAUGUCGGCUCUUUCCAUCCUGGUCGUGCAGCAGCGGCCAAGGGCGGGGGAGUUCACCCAUUAAAGGAGAUCGUGAGCUGGGUUUAGACCGUCGUGAGACAGGUUGGUUACUAUCUGUCGGGGAUGUUUGAACAUUUGAGGGGAAGUUGGAAAUAGUACGAGAGGAACUUUCUAACGGCGCCUCUGGUCUACCGGUUGUCCGACAGGGCAUUGCCGGGCAGCUACGCGCUGGCGGAUAAGAGCUGAAAGCAUCUAAGCUCGAAGCCGUCCCCAAAAAUAAAUGUUCUUUAAGGAUGCCUCUAAAAGAGAGGCUUGAUAGAGUUGGGGUGUAAGCACCGAGGCAACGAGGUGUUCAGCCCGCAGCAACUAAUUUUCCAAAGCUUGGAUC